ensembl:lncRNA
GGCCUCGAACCUCAGACUCGGAACAGCCGGGCCAGGAGGGCGUGCGGCCCAGCGAUGGCUUCACACAUGGAGCUGGGGUCCCAAAAGGUGCCCAGUGUUUCCCCCUGGACUCCGUCCCUCUCCUGAGGUCUUCCCAGUCACUGCCGCCUUGGGAGGGCCCCAUUUCCUCCGGCCCUGCCUGCCCUCCUCAUGGGUUUGGCUUGUUUUGAGACAGGAUCUUGCUACAUUACGUAGUUCAUGCUGGCCUCAAACUUGUGAUUCUCCUGCCUCGGCCUCCCGAGUGCUGGGAUUACAGGUGUGUGCUACUGUGCCCAGUGCUUUCUCUGGGCUCCAGGGAUGUUCAUACGUCUUCCUUUGCCAGGAGCAUGAGUGGGAAGGGAAACAGCACCCCUUGCAGAAGCCCGGGUGUGGGAGGGGUCCCCCCAGCAGCCUGCCCAGCUCUGGCCCUGGGCCAGCAUCGCUACCUCCUCGGGGUGGUUCUGGCCCAGGUCCAGCUGGUGCCGUGUCACCCUGCCCACCCCCACAGGCCACGAACGGCCCAGGAGGAGAAAUGCAGUUGGGCCAGCCAGGCCUGCAGGUCACUUCAGCCGCCAUCUGUUCCAGUCCCAGCCCUGCCACUUGCUAGCAUGUGGCCUUAGCAAGCUCCUCCUCUGAGCCUGAGCCUCCCGCUGUGUCAGGAGACCACCUGCUUGGGAUCUGGUGGGCCUCCACAUGGCACCCAGCAGCCAUAGGUGGCUCACCAACAGGCCUGGGCUGUGGGUGCCAGCCCUGCCCAGGCUUCCAAGGAGUGCCGCCCCCGGGGGCUCCAGUCAUUUCCAUUCCUGAGGCCACCAGCCCACGUGGAACGCUUGGUAGGAGGCGCCCACCCGACUGCAUCAGAGCCAGCAAGGCAGGGAGCCAGAAACUGGCCAAGAGAGGAAGCCACCAGAUGGGGCUGGAAGGGAGCUCUGACAGCCUCUCCUCACCUGGGUCUGCUCAUCAGCAUCGGCCAGCCUGGUGGGGACGGUGGCGCCCAAACGGACAUGCAGCAAGCAGGCCUCAUCUUCCUGCUUGGGGUAGUCCCACUCCAUCUCCUCCAGACAGGUUCCUGUGGGCAGAGCAGGGUCAGCCCUGUGAUGUUCACUCUUCCUUAGGAUGAAGGCAAACCAUUCCCGGUCCUGUUGCCCUAUCAUCUUUGGCUUUUCCUUGACCCUAGGCUGCCAAAGGUAGAAGAUUUAAAACCCUGAACUGGGCCAGGGAUUUAGCUCAGUGGUACCGUGCCUGCCUCAAAAGCACAAGGUCCUGAGUUCGAUCCCUGGUACCAAAUAAAUAAAUAAAUAAAAAUAAAACCCUGAACCAAUACCCUCUUCUCCCAAAUUGACGUACAUCCUCUGUCUAAAACCGAGACAGUCACAAAAGCUGUGGACCAGGAGGUGGAUGGUGGAAAGGACGGUCCCUGAUGCCAGCAGCCUACACUGCUGGUGGCUGGUGGUACAGAGGAGGAGGGUGCUAAUCGCUUCUCAGCCUUUUGGCUAAGAUCAAGUGUAGGAGGAGGGUGCUAUUUGGAUACCACUACUGCUGCUUGGACCUCACCCUGCAGGGCAUCCUGAGCAGGACCAAGGGCUCCCAGGCCAGUACGAGGCGGUGGAGGGGGCCAGCCAGGGGACCUCGCCUGCUUCUGCUUCAUCCAGUUCUUGACCCCCUGAUGCCAUCACCUACAUCACCCAAUCUGUUUG